GGUGAGGUGGCCGAGCGGCCGAAGGCGCACGCCUGGAAAGUGUGUAACGGGCAACCGUUCGAGGGUUCAAAUCCCUCCCUCACCGCCA
rnacentral:tRNA from 1 species